UACGAAGGGGGCUAGCGUUGCUCGGAAUUACUGGGCGUAAAGCGCGCGUAGGCGGGCCGUUAAGUCGGGGGUGAAAGCCUGGGGCUCAACCUCAGAAUUGCCUUCGAUACUGGCGGCCUGGAGCAUAAUAGAGGCGAGUGGAAUUCCGAGUGUAGAGGUGAAAUUCGUAGAUAUUCGGAGGAACACCAGUGGCGAAGGCGACUCGCUGGAUCAUUGCUGACGCUGAGGCGCGAAAGCGUGGGUAGCAAACAGG
rnacentral:rRNA from 1 species